rnacentral:pre_miRNA from 1 species
AAAAAGACAAACCCUGGGUUUUCGUAUCCAACGUUUAACCGUCCGUCUUAUUUGAAAAAAUUAAAAAGACAAGUCACGCAUAAAGUAUUAAUCAUGUUUUAUCAUCUAACAACAAUGAAAAUAGUAAUUAUAAAAAAAAAUUCAUAUAAGACGGACAAUCAAACGUUGGACACAGAAACCUAGGGUUUGUCUUUUU